rnacentral:lncRNA from 1 species
GUUAGGUUAUGCAUACUUACGUGAUGGGGUAAGAGUUUUUGGAAACGUCAACAGAAUUCUCCCCCCACUAUAAUUUCUCUGGCCCUUUUCCCCCUCCAAUUAGGCUAGUCAUUCUGUAUUCAUUGCCUUGGGGAAGGAAUGUGAUAGGAGAAAGCAGAGAAAAGGGGAACCUCUUCCUCGAUGUUGAGUUCCAAAAGCUGAGCCCCUGUGGAGGAAAGAAUGAAAUAGUCGACAAAAGAUAAAGGAGAAAUUUGAGAUUAGGAGCAAGAUUUUCCUGCCUCUCCUCCAUUAGAAAAAUUCCCUGGGAUUAGGGAGACCGAGAAAAUGGGAAGUAAUGGAGGAAAGCAGUCAGGGGAGGGCCGUGUGGAGGGGGCUGUACCUCAGCCACACUCUGGGGCAAUCAGUCUACCCUCUGGGCCACAUCAGCUGCACCCCCAGGGCUCUGCCAGCUCUUCUUCCUGCCAUCUGCUGAGGACUUCCCUUCACAGUGGACAGAAUGUCCUUGACCAACCCGCAGAGAGGAUGCUCUUCUGCGCUCUGAGACUAUACUCCCACCCAUUUAACUAGCUCUUUGUGAACUGCCUUCAAGAUCUCCCCCGGGCCAUCACCGGUUCAGACAGACCCUGUUACAAUUGUGUGUUACUAACCAAAUCACAUACCGCGGGGCUCUGAUUCAUAUUAACUAAAGAUGCCUCUAUUCCAGCCAAAGAAUGAAGCUAUAAUGAAGAGAUGGUAGGGAGUGGGGUUAUUUUUGAGAUGGGGCCCUGCUUGUUGCCUCUUGAAAUUGAUGCCACAGAGGUGAUAAUACAGAAGGUAAAUUUCUGAGUUGAUAGAAGGAGAUUCUUGCCCCUUCCCUUCUGCCUUGGGGACCUCUCUCCAGAGCCACCUGUGGGGUUUGAGCUUCUAGAGGGAGAGUGGUGCAACAGAUACAGCCAGAUGCAGUCACCUGGGAGAGGCGGACGGUAGGACAGAUAUCCUAUGAAGCCUUCUGUGGUAGACUGUUCCAUUGGUGGUCCCCACCAAGCUUCCCUUGUGUGAGCCCCUCCCCUACGGACUCUGGGUUUGGCCAUGUGACUUGCUUGGCCAAUGAGACAUUAGCAAGCACGAUGCCAGCAGAGACUCGAGAAGCACUUGCACAGAGGGGCUCUUCCUCUUGGGACCUCCCUCUUGGAAACCAGCUGCCAUUUGGUAAGGAAACCAGUGUUGACUACUGGAGGAAGAGAGGCAUGUGGAGGAAAAUCAAGGCCCACCAGCUCUCAGCUGGCCCCAGUGACACGACAUGUGGGUGGACAUUUCCCCAACUGACCUCUCAGCUGAAUGCAGCCGCCUCAGAGACCCCAGCAGAUACACAUGGAACAGAGUUGAGCCAUCCCCUCCGAGCCCUCUCCAAGUUGCAGAAUCAUGAGCAAAUAAUGCAAGUAAUCUUUAGCUACUAAGUUUGGGGUAGUUUGCUGUGCAGCACAAGAUAACAGAAAUACCUUCUUUCUAGAGGAUGCUGUCCCUUCCAAUUUCAGGGACUUUCCACAGGGCAGGGACCUUGUCUGUUUUGAUCACCAUAUCCUCAGCCCAUAACAGAUGUCCAAUAAAUAUUUGUGGAAUUCGUGACAUGAAAUCAAGCACCACAGCUUCUACCCUGCAUUAUGAUACUCUUUUUCCUGGCUGUUUCUCGUCCUUCUGAACCAUGAGCUUCCUAGCCUGGAAGCUUCCGUUUAUUGUAGGUGAGUGGUUGGCAACUUUCUAAGAGAUCUAUACACGUAACACUUUAUUAAGUGGGACUUUGACUGUUAUCUAUGGAGUUUUGGUAACUGACAGCUGAGAACAGUGACGAUAAACACCCCUACAUUCUAAAGAUUGGUGUUAGACACAUUUGCAGCACAUGCUGAGAAGACUCAAAUCUUUGCUGCCGCCUUGGUCCAUUCUUUGCCUCCCGCCUCUGUAAGAGAAAGGGAGAGGCACUAGGCAUUUGUGAUUAUGGGUCAGAAGCCGGAGCCAGAUGGCCUGGGUUCAAAUCCUCACUCAGCCACAUACCAGCUGUGAGACUCUGGCCAGGUUCCUUCACCUCUCUGUAUUUCCAUUUGCUCGUCUAAAAUGGGGGUGAUGAUAGUAUCUACCUCCUAGCGUUGCUGUGAGGGUGAAAUGAGUUAUUGCAUAGAGACUGGGCGGUUCUAUGUAUGCAACCCCGAGAACAGUGCCCAGCUCAUAGCAAGGGCCUGUAAGUGUCAGUUGUCAUCAGUAUCAUCAGAGUGAGUGAAGAUCUCUUCAAAGAAGAUUGGCUGCCUGGUAGAGGGCAUAUAUUUCCUGGUGGGGGAACCCCGUGUUUGGAGUUGUUUACCGGAAAGGGGCUGACAUAUCGCUCAUUGCCCUAUCCAACCUCCAGGAUUGUUGAACUGAAGAAACAUCUAGACCCUUCCAGAGCUUCUGUGGGAGUGGACAUGACACUAAAUCUCGUGGCCUUUCAUGUUUCCCCCUUUAUGAUGGCUGCUAGGAAGCUCAGCCAAAUUUAUGAUCUACCUGUAAUGGUUCAGCCUUGAAUCCUUAAUGGAAGAUUAGCGCAACAUCUGCCACCAAUCCUCCUCUUUUUGCUGAGGAAGACUGGCCCUGAGCUAACAUCAUGCCCAUCUUCCUCUACUUUAUAUGUGAGAUGCCUGCCACAGCAUGGCUUCCAAGCAGUGCCAUGUCUGCACCCAGGAUCCAAACCAGCGAACCCCGGGCCAUCGAAGUAGAACGUGUGAACUUAAUCUCUGUGCCACCAGGCCGGCCCCUUACAUUGUUUUUUAAAGAUUAAGAUGGGGGAUAUAAGUUAUUAUCUGAACUUGGGCUCAAAGGUUUUGAAGCCUUUCAGGCAGAAACCUACUUGGUAGAGUGAGCCAGGCCGUAUUUAGAGUGCCACUCCUUCUGGAACCCAGCUGGUGUCUCAGGGGCAUCCUUGAUAUGUUGAUAUGUUUGCAGGGGUUUCUAAACUCACCUUCCCACUUUUUGCUUACAAAUUACAUUGUGAAUUUAUUGAUUUUUCCUCCUAAUAUUUUUGGCCAUGAGAACAAAAUAUAUGAGGUUAUUUUGUGUUCCUUCCCAAGCCUUGGGAGGUAGUUUCACUUCCUUAUGGUAACGCAGUCCAAAAGAGAAUUUAGUUUCAUCUUCUCCAAUAUUAUUCUAGAUUCAAAAAUAUCUUUAAGCUUUCAUAAAUCUGUAAUUGUUGACAGAUUUGUAGUUAACACAUCUCAAAUAUUUAGGCUCAGGCAUUUAAAAUUCCAACAAUAAUGAUAACAAAGAUAAAACAAUUAUUGUCUGCAAUAAAUGAUCCACAGCAACAAAUUUUAGAAGAAUAGUUGAUGAGUGACUUGCGUUUCCAUGAUUGGGGGCGACUGGGGUUGAGGGCGUGAAGAACUCGGCCAGAUGGAAGGAUGGAGAAGCAGAUAACCUAAGCGAGCCACUCAUUUCUCGACCUGGAAAGACGGGAACCCUCCUCUGAGGGACUGGCUGCUCUUUCUAGUCAUUUACUACAGGGCUCUUCAUUUCUCUUCCGGGAGCCUGUAAAGCUCAUAUCCAAGGUGCACAUCCGCACCGGCCCCAGGUUUCUGAAGUUUCUCUGGGACACAGUAAGUGAGGCAAAUGUUUUCAAUGAAAUCCGCAUCAUGUUCUUCUUUGUGCAAGUUCAUAUUUUGGUUGACAUGAUAACCAUAAAUAUUUAACAUUCUAAAAGCUGUGGCUUCCCAGCCCCACCCGCCCGAUGGGAGACCACGUUGCAUGCAUUAAUUUACAACCCACUUUCAUUUCAAGCUGGUCGAUAAUAUUUCAUAAGGUAGGAAACCAGAUGGCAUGAUUUGGUGGAGAGAUGAAAAGAGCAGAGGGUGCCUUAGAGACCCAAAGACCAAAUUCGGAGAGGGAGGGUAGACAUCGUUUUGUGAGUGGGACACUGUCUUUGUUUUUUCUUAAUCUUGACAAAAUUUUCUUUUUCCCACACUGAAGAAAUUAACCGCAACAUUUUAAGAAGAAGUGAAAGGUCUCCUUCUUGUGCUGACUCCUUCCUCCUCCCCACCCACCCUCACACACACACACACACACACACACACACACACGCGCGCGGUAGCAGACGUGCUGCUGAAAGGUGUUGCCGCCCAAGGACCAACAGAAAUUAGGAGACAGGGCUCUACCCACUGAAGCUGGACACAGUGUGCUGUCCAUUUGACCCAGUUGAACAAAUGUGGUGUUUUGAAAAAUGACCCUCACUUGACAUUUACAAGAUAUCAAAUGAUCUAUUUGAAUGUCAUUAUUUAAGCAAUUGCUUUUCGAGCUUGUGGACAGUCUAAUUCUCAUCAAUUUCACCUUUAAUUUAGAAGAGGAAUGAUAACCAAUGGAAGGAAGAAGAAGAAGAAAAAACAACCCACAACAGAGGCCUGUGUCCUUAUGUUCCAGAGUGGUUUUUCAUUCAGAGUGUUUUCUGUAAAUGUGCUUUUGAAUAAACCUAAAACUGACAAGUAAAGGGUUGAGUAGAAAUAAAUUCUUCCUUUUUUAGCUGGGACUAGAAAAAGGG